GAAUGGGAGCAUUUCUAAAUGACUUCAAGCUCUGUCACGGCAUAAUCUCUUAUAAAUAAAUGUCAGUGUAGUCACUGAAUGCAGACUGGAUUUUUGCUUGACUACGGUGCUCAGCCUUCUAGACAAUAGUUAUGCUAAGGGAUUAUCUUUUAACAUAGUGCAGUUAUCUUCUUUGUUUGUUUUCUUUUUUCAUUAUUCACAUAAGCCAAGGGAAAUGAAAAGCAUCUUAUUUCAGGCAAAAAGGCCUGUGAAUGAUUAACUCUGGUUCCAUGCAUUGGGACUUUGCAUAGCAACCCCUUGGCUUGCAACGACAAAAAGCUCAAGGCAGGAACAGCAGCCCAGGGACCUAAGACCAACGUUCUCAAAUGAAGGUGCUGUGUGUCUGUGAUCUGUUGAUGAGGGUGGCGAAGGACUACUCAAUCAACUGGGGUGUACAAAAUGGAGUUUGAGAAGGUCUCACAUCUAAGUCGUUUUGAAGCAAAGUCCAAGCAUUGUAUCAUUUCCUCUGCAAAUAUUUUAAUAAGUACCCAAAAGCUGACACCAACUCCAGAACUCAGCUGUAGAUUACUUUUGGAAGUGACUGACCGUGGCGGUAUCUACAAAAAUGGUAAGAAGAGUGGAGGAAUCUUUGUCGUUUCAGUCUAGGGAUGCUUCCUUGGUCCAGGAAUGCCUUCCAGCAUUCUUGAGCUCUGGCUAAUGAGGUGCUAAUGGGGUGUUAUUACUGGCUACUAGACCAAGGCAUCCAGAGAGACAGGCUGGUAAACACCCUUUGAAGUAUGUGCCUAAUCCUUUGAAGUGUGUUUCUAAUGGGAAGAUAAGCACAUUUCCGGUCUUAGAGAUGCAAAGUUUUGUGUCCUAACCUAUGUUAUCAACUCUAGGACACAUUUGCUCUGUUUCAGGUAGUACUUAGGCAAGAAACUGCGUUAGAGGGGUGGUUCCAGGGCUCGGUCUCCUCAUGUUGGAUUUGGCUAAUGGUGCCUCAUAUAUGAAACCUGCUUAGUGAUUCUUAUAUAUGCCCCAAGAGAUAAAUAGAAAUAUAGGUCAAACUAGGGGAAUACAAACCCAAAUGUCUCUCUAAAUAAACUUUUCUCCUCUUUGACUUCUCUGAGAUAAGUUUAUUUGGAGGGACACUCUCCUCUUCGACACUCUGUUUUCUCCAACACUUUAAUUAAGUAAGGUCAAAAACUGUCUCUGAUUGGUCCCUUGAUUCCUGGCACAGUGGUUUGUACAGAAAGUACAGAGUACAGAAUCUUUUAAAUAGUGCUCAUGUAUGAAUCACUUUGUGAUAUGGAUUAAAACUCUGAUGCUCUGCCACACAAUUCUUAAAACCAAAAAGUUCUCAACUUAGCAGAAAGCCAGAUAUAGGACAAUAUAAUACUUUCUAAGCCUUUUAGUGUUUAAAGUAUUUACACCUCAUUUACCUCAAAUUACAUUCAGUGGAGAUUCCCCAGACCAAAUUUUAGAGGGUCAGGGUCAAAUGCGAAGGGGACAGAAGGUUUUCUGGUUUCUACAUAUGGACUCAGAUUGCCUUCUAAUUCAGUUAAGUGACAAUUUAUUUGUUAAUACAAAUAUAUUUGCAUCCAACCAAUCAGCAAAUAUGUCUUGAAUAUAGUAUUCUUCCUCAUAUUCAUGGGGUAAACUUUCCAUGACUUCAGCGAAUGCCUGAAGCCACGUAUAGUACCACACCUCCUAUAUACUAUGUUUUUUCUUUAUCGUAAGUCCAGUACCCACAGACUUAUGAAAAUGUGUAUAAAUUAAGGACAGUAGGAGAUUAAUAAUAACUAAUAAUAAAAUAGAACAAUAAUAAUGCUAUUCCAUAAUAAAAGUAAAGUGAAUGUGGUCUGUCUUGCUCAAUAUAUCUCAUGUAAUAUUUUCAGAUUGCAGUUGACUAUGGGUAACUGAAAAUGAGGAAUGAGAAAUCACAGAUAAGGGGGGACUUCUAUAUUUUAUUAUGGCAACAAUCUGUGCACAUAAAUCAAACCUCAGCUAGCAGAAUUAAAGGUAGCAAUUGAGGAAUUAGGGCUCAUCGUGGUGGAUAGGAAACAGGACUGGAAUGCAGCUCUUCACAGAGGAGCACGCAGAAGCUUGCAUUGUGAAUUUUAGGUCCAGAUUGACUGCAAGAACAAACCAACAAUACUGAGAGGACACACAGACCCUCUGAAGGAAGCAGACUGCACCUGCAGGACCUGGGAGAUACCCCAAAUACUGUGAGUGCCCCACCUGCGGAAGCAGGAAAGGGAGACCAUCCUCUCCUGAACACACACCCCCACUGGAGAAACUGAAAGUCUGUUUGUGGGAGAAGUUUCCAAUUUUACCCGGAGCUGAGUCAAUUUAGAGAGCCAUGCAAAAUACAGGGGUAGAAGAAGCCGCAGAAAGGCCUUGGAAGCUUGCUGGGUCCCCCCUAGCAGGCUAUUCCUGCCUGGCACCACAGGGAUACAUCAGGAUGGUGGCCAGAGGAAAAGGGGGUAAAACGACACAAGGAAAAUAAAAUCUCUAGCUGAACUUAAACAAAUUCACAAGAAAAAACAACCCCAUUAAAAAGUGGGUGAAGGAUAUGAACAGACACUUCUCAAAGAAGACAUUUAUGCAGCCAACAAACAUAUGAAAAAAAGCUCAUACUCACUUGUCAGUAGAGAAAUGCCAAUCAAAACCACAAUGAGAUACCAUCUCAUGCCAGUUAGAAUGGUGAUCAUUAAAAAGUCAGGAAACAACAGAUGCUGGAGAGGAUGUGGAGAAAUAGAAACACUUUUACACUGUUGGUGGGAGUGUAAAUUAGUUCAACCAUUGUGGAAGACAGUGUUGCAAUUCCUCAAGGAUCUAGAACCAGAAAUUUCAUUUCACCCAGCAACCCCAUUACUGGGUAUAUACUCAAAGGAUUAUAAAUCAUUCUACUAUAAAGACACAUGCACACAUAUGUUUAUUGCAGCACUGUUCACAUAACAAGGACUUGGAACCAACCCAAAUGCCCAUCAGUAAUAGACUGGACAAAGAAAUGUGGCACAUAUGGAAUACUAAAAAGCCAUAAAAAGGAUGAGUUCAUGUCCUUCGCAGGGACAUGGAUGUAGCUGGAAGCCAUCAUUCUCAGCAAAUGGACACAGGAACAGAAAAUGAAACACCACAUGUUCUCACUCAUAAGUGGGAGUUGAACAAUGAGAACACAUGGACACAGGGAGGGCAACAUCACACACUGGGACCAGUUGGGGGUGGGGGAAAAGGGGAGAGAUAGCAUUAGGAGAGAUAUCUAAUGUAGAUGACUGGUUGAUGGGUGCAGAAAACCACCAUGGCACAUAUCUAUGUAGCAAAACUGCACAUUCUGCACAUGUAUCCUAGAACUUAAAGUAUAAUUAAAAACAAACCAACAAUAACAACAGGAAUAACAUGAUCAUCUCAAUCGGUAGAAAGCAUUUGACAAAAUGCAGCAUCCCUUUAUGAAUAAACUCAGCAAAAUAGGCAUAUGGGUGACAUUCCUUAAUGUAAUAAAAGCCAUCUAUGACAAACCUACAGCCAACACGAUACUGAAUGGAGAAAAAUUGAAAGCCUUACCUCUGAGAACUGGAACAAGACAAGGAUGUCCACUCUUACCACUCCUCUUUAACAUAGUUCUGGAAGUGCUAGCCAGAGCAAUUAGACAAGAGAAAGAAGUAAAGGCAUCCAAAUUGGUCAAGAGGAAGUCAAACUGUCAGUGUUUGCUGAUGAUCGUUUACCUUGAAAACCUUGAAGACUUCUCGGGAAAGCUACUAGAACUGAUAAAAGAAUUCAGCAAUGUUUCCAGAUAGAUUAAUGUACACUAAUCAGUAGGUCUUCUAUGCACCAACAGCAACCAAGCUGAGAAUGAAAUCAAGAACUCAUCCCUUUUACAAUAGCUGCAAAAAAGUUAAAAUACUUAGGAAUCUAUUUAACCAAAGAGUUGAAAGACCUCUACAAGGAGAACUACAAAACAGUGCUGAAAGAAAUCAUAGAUGACACAAACAAAUGGAUACACAUUCCAUGCUCAUGGAUGGGUAGAAUCAAUAUUGUGAAAAUGACUGUAUUGCCAAAAACAAUUUACAAAUUUAAUGCAAUCCCCAUCAAAAUACCACCAUUAUUAUUCACAGAAUUAGAAAAAACAAUUCUAAAGUUCAUGUGGAACCAAAAAACGGCCCAUAUAGCCAAAGCAAGACUAAGCCAAAAGGACAAAUCUGGCCAUAUCACACUACCUGAUUUCAAACCAUGCUUUAAGACCAUAGUCACCAAAACAGUAUGAUAUUGGCAUAAAAAUAGCGCAUAGACCAGUGGAACAGAACAGAGAACACAGAAAUAAACCAAAUAUCUACAUCCAACUGAUUUUUGACAAAGCAAACAAAAACAUUAAGUGGAUAAAGACACCCUUUUCAACAAAUGGUGCUGGGAUAAUUGACUAGCCACAUGUAGGAGAAUGAGACUGGAUCCUCAUCUCCACCUUAUACAAAAAUCAACCAAGAUAGAUUAAGGACUUAAUCCUAAGACCUGAAACUAUAAAAAUUCUAGAAGAUAACAUUGGAAAAACACUCAAAGACAUUGGCUUAGGCAAGGAUUUCAUGACCAGGAACCCAAAAGCAAAUGCAAUAAAAACAAACAUUAGCUGGGACCUAAUUAAUCUAAGGACGUUUUGUACACCUAAAGAAUGUCAACAGAGUAAACAGAUAACGCACAGAGUGGGAGAAAAUCUUCACAAUCUAUACAUCUGAUUAAGGACUAAUUCAGAGUCUACAACAAACUCAAGCAAAUCAGUAAGAAAAAAAUCCCAUCAAAAAGUGGGCUAGGCCGGGCGCGGUGGCUCAAGCCUGUAAUCCCAGCACUUUGGGAGGCCGAGGCGGGUGGAUCACAAGGUCAAGAGAUAGAGACCAUCCUGGUCAACAUGGUGAAACCCCGUCUCUACUAAAAAAUAUACAAAAAAUUAGCUGGGCAUGGUGGCACGUGCCUGUAAUCCCAGCUACUCAGGAGGCUGAGGCAGGAGAAUUGCCUGAACCCAGAAGGCGGAGGUUGAUCGCACCAUUGCACUCCAGCCUGGGUAACAAGCGCGAAACUCCGUCUCAAAAAAAAAAAAAAAAAAGUGGGCUAAGGACACAGAUAGUUCUCAAAAGAAGGUAUAGAACUGGCCAACAAACACAUAAAAAAAAAAUGAACAUUACUAAUGAUCAGGGAAAUGCAAAUCACAACCACAAUGAGAUACCAUGUUACUCAUGCAAGAAUGGUCAUUAUCAAAAAAAUUAAAAAAAAAACAGUAGAUGUUGGCGUGGAUGCCGUGAACAGCGGACACUUCUACGCUGCUAAUACAGCCAGCAGUGUACUGAAAACUCAUACAGCCACUAUGGUAAACAGUGUGGAGAUUCCUUAAAGAACUAAAAGUAGAACUAUCAUUUGAUAGUUGUAUUAAAUAAGCAUUUGAUCCAUCAAUCCCACUACUGGGUAUCUACCCAGAAGAAAAGAAGUAAUUAGUUGAAAAAGAUACUUGUACAUGCAUGUUUAUAACAGCACAAUUCACAAUUGCAAAAACGUGGAACCAACCCAAAUGCCCAUCAAUCAAGUGGAUAAAGAAACUUGUGUUAUUUUUUGUGCAGUAAUUCAGGAAUGGAAAAUCAAACAUCAUAUGUUCUCACUAAUAUGUGGGAGCUAAGCUAUGAUGAUGUAGACCUAAGAAUGAUACAAUGGACUUAGGGUACUUAACGGAAAGAGUGGGAUGGGGGUGAGGGAUAAAAGACUACAAAUAGGGUGCAGUGUAUACAACUCAGGUAAUGUGUGAACAAAAUCUCACAGAUCACUGCUAAAGAACUUACUCAUGUAACUACCACCUGUACUCCAAUAACUUAUAGAAAAAUAAAAGUAAAUAAAUAAAAUUACAUUUAAAAAGAUAACACUUUAAUGUUUGCUUUUUAAGUAUCUUGUUUAUAAAAAUAGACCUCAUUUCUUUAGAGCCGUUUUCAGUUCACAGCAAAAUUGAACAGAGGUAUAGAGGUUUCCCAUAUCUCUCUCCCCUCACAUUCAUGCAGCCUUCCCCGGUAUCAAAAUCGUACACCAGAGUGGUGUAUUUGUUAAUUAAUGCAUUUACACUGACACACUGUAUACAUCAUUGUAUUAGGGUAAUUGUGCCUUAAUAGAUUGAGUUAGGAAGUACUUGCUCUGCUUCUAUUUUCUGAAUGAGAUUGUAGAAAAUUGGUAUAAUUUCUUCCUUAAAUAUUUGGUAGAUUUCACCAGUGAAUCUAUCUGGCCCAAGUGAUUUCUGUUUUGAAGGCUAUUAAUUACUAAUUCAAUUUCUUUAAUAAUAGUGCUGUUCAACUUAUGUAUUUCUUCUUGUGUGAGCUGUGGUAGAUUUGUUUUUUAAGGAAUUGGUUCAUUUCAUUUAGGUUACCAAAUUUGUGAGCAAAGAGUUGUUUAAAAUGUUUCUUUAUUUUCUUUUUAAUGUUCAUGAGAUUGAUAGUGAUGUCCCCUCUUUUAUUUCUCAUGUUAGUAAUUUGUGUCUUCUCUCUGUUUUCUUAGCCUGCCUGGAGGCUCAUUUAUUUAUUGAUCUUUUCAGCGAACUAACUCUUGGUUUCAUUCAUUUAUUUUCUUUUGUAAAUUUCAUUGAUUUCUGCUUUAACUUUAUUGUUUCCUUUUUUUGUGCUUUUAAUAUGCUCUUCCCUAACCUCAACCUCCUUGUUUCCUAAGGUAGAAGUUUAGAUGAUCAAUUUUAGAUCUUUCUUCUUUCUAAUAUACAGAUUCAGUGCUGUAAAUUUCCUCUAAGCACUGCUGUUUCUGUAUCCCACAAAUUUUGUUGUGUUUUCAUUUUGAUUGUGUUCAAAAUAUUUAAAACAUUUUCUUCGCAUUUCUUUUUGCUUUCUGUGUUAUUUUGAAGUGUGUUGUUUAAUCUCCAAGUAUUUUGAGAUCUUCCAGCUAUCUUUCUGUUGAAUGUUUAUGUUAGUCUAAGAUAAUAUCAAUCUGAUUCUUUUUUCUACUUUUCCCAUAUAUCUUUGUGUGGGGAGCAGGAUGUUGUCAUAAACUUUCUCAGCUAACUUCUGGAUGAUCAAUUUAACUCAGAGUUAAUAAGUUCAAUCACUUUAUUUUCUUCUGCUUCAAACAAUUCUACCUUUAUUAUGCUCAGCAUAACUUUAUUUUAAAGGAAGAAGAUUCCCUUUUUAAAUAUUUUAUUUUAUGUUUUAUUUUGGAUUCGGGGGUACAUGUGCAGAUUUAUUACAUGGGUAUAUUGUGUGAUGCUUAGGUUUGGGCUUAUAAUGAUCCUGUCACCCAAAUAGUGAACAUAAUACUGAUAGGUAGUUUUCAACCCUUGUAUCCCCCUGUCUUCCACGAUGGAGUCCUCAAUGUCUAUCAUUCCCAUCUUUGUGUCUGGAUGUACCCAAAUUUUACCUCCCACUUAUAAGUGAGAACAUGGUGUAUUUCAUUUUCUGUUUCUGCACUAAUUUAUAUAUGAUGAUGGCCUCAAGCUGCAUCCAAGUUCCUGCAAAAAACAUGAUUCUGUUCUUCUUCAUGGUUGUGUAGUAUUCCACGAUGUAUAGGUACCAUGUUUUCAUCAUCCAAUUCACUACUGAUGGGCACCUAGGUUGAUUCCUUGUCUUUGCUAUUUUGAAUAGUCCUGUAAGGAACAUACAAGUGCAUAUGUCUUUUUGGUAGAACAAUUUGUUUUCCUUUGAGUAUAUACCCAGAAAUGGGAUUGCUGGUAAUUCUGUUUUCAAAUGGUAAUUCUAAUUUUGGUUCUUUGAGAAAACUCUAAACUGCUUUCCACCAGGACUGAACUAAUUUGCAUCCCCACCAACAGUGUAUAAGCAUUCCCUCUCUGCAAACUCACCAACAUCUGUUAUUUUUUGACUUUUUUAUAAUAGCCAUUCUGACUGGUGUGAGAUAGUGUUCACUGUGGUUUUGAUUUGCAUUUACUUAUCUGAUGAUUAAUGAUGUUGAGUUUUUUUUUAAUAUGUUCAUUAGCUUCUUGUAUGUCUUCUUUUGAGAAGUGUCCACUUUCUAUUGGUGCUAUUUGUUUCAUUCUUGUUGAUUUAAGUUUCUUAUAGAUUCUGGAUAUUAAGCUUUGUCAGAUGCAUAAUUUGCAAGUAUUUUCUCUCAUUCUGUAGGUUGUCUCUUUACUCUGUUGAUAGUUUCGUUUGCUGUGCAGAAGCUCUUAGUUUAAAUAUGUCCCAUUUGUCUAUUUUUUCUUUUUUUUGCAUUUGCUUUUGGAGUCUUCAUCAUAAAUUAUUUGCCUAGGACAGUGUUUAAAAGGGUAUUUCCUAGCUUUUCUUCGAGGGUUAUUAUAAUUUGAGGUCUUACAUUUAAGUCUUUAAUCCAUCUUGACUUAAUUUUUAUAUAAGAUAAGAGAUCAGUGCCUAUUUUCAUUCUUCAGCAUAUGGUUAGCCAGUCUUUUAAGUACCAUUUAUUGAAUAGAGUAACCUUUACCCAUUGUCAUUUUUGUUGAUUUUGGUAAAGAGGAGUUGAUUGUAGGUGUGUGGCUCUACUUUUGGUUUCCACUUUCUGUUUUAUUGGUCUAUCUAUUUUUGUACCAUUUCCAUGCUUUUUUAGUUACUAUGGACUUAUAGCAUAGUUUGAAAUUAGGUAAUGUGAUGCUACUGGCUUUUUUCUUUUUACUUAAGAUUGCCUUAGCUAUUUGGGCUCUUUUUUGGUUCCAUAUGAAUUUGAGAAUAGUUUUUUCUAAUUCUGUGAAAAGUGACAUUGGUAAUUUGAUAGGAAUCGUAUUGAAUCUGUAGAUCGGUUUGGGCAAUAUGAAUAUUUUAAUGAUAUUGAUUCUUCCAACCCAUGAACAUAGAAUAGUUUUCCAUUUGCUUGUAUCAUCUACAUAUCUAUCUCAUUUUUUUCCCUAAGUAUUUUAUUUUUUUGUGGCUAUUGUAAGUGAAAUUGCAUUCUUGAUUUGGUUCUCAUCUUUGGUGUGUAGAAAUGUUGCUAAUUGGCUAGGCAUGGUGGUUCAUGCCUGUAAUCCCAGCACUUUUGGAGGCUGAUGCAGGUGGAUCACAAGGUCAGGAGAUCAAGACCAUCCUGGCUAACAUGGUGAAACCCUGUCUCUACUAAAAGUACAAAAAUUAGCCAGGAAUGGUUGCAUGUGCCUAUAGUUCCAGCUACUUGGGAGGCUGAGACUGGAGAAUUGUUUGAACUUGGGAAGUGGAGGCUGCUGUGAGCCAAGAUUGCACCACUGCACUCCAGCCUUGGAGACAGAGUGAGACUCCAUGUCAAAAACCAAACCAAACAAAACAGAAAUUCUGCUGAUUUACGUAUGUUGAUUUUGUAUCCUGAGACUUUGUUGAAGUUGUUUAUCAGGUCUACAAGUCUUCUGGCAGUCUUUAGGGUUUUCUAGGUCUAGAAUCAUAUUGUCAGUGAAUAUAGAUAACUUGACUUCCUUUUUUUUUUUUUAAUGUGGCUGCCUUUUAUUUCUUUCUGUCAUCUGAUUUCUCUGGCUAGGACUUCUAGUACUAUAUUGAAUAGCAGUGGUGACAUCCUUGUUUUGUUUCAGUUCUCAAGGGGAAUGCUUCCAGCAUUUACCCAUUUACUGUGAAUUUGUCAUAGAUGACUCUUAUUGUUUUGAGGUACGUUCAUUGAAUUCCUAGUUUGUUACUUUUUUUUUUUUUUUUAAUCAUGAAGGGAUGUUGGAUUUUAUGCAAAGCUUUUUCUUUAUCUAUUGAGAUGGUUAUUUGUCUUUUUUUUUUUUUUUUGAGAUGGGGUUUCGCUAUUGUUACCCAGGCUGGAGUGCAAUGGCAUGACCUCGGCUCACCGUUCCUCCGCCUCCUGGGUUCGGACAAUUCUCCUGCCUCAGCCUCCUGAGUAGCUGGGACUACAGGCACGCGCCACCAUGCCCAGCUAAUUUUUUGUAUUUUUAGUAGAGACAGGGUUUCACCAUGUUGACCAGGAUGGUCUCGAACUGUUGACCUCGUGAUCCACCUGCCUCAGCCUCCCAAAGUGCUGGGAUUACAGGCUUGAGCCACCACGCCCGGCCCUUGUCUUUUGUUUUUAAUUCUGUUUGUGUGAUGAAUCACAUUUCUUAAUCUAUGUCUCUUGAACCAUCUUUGCAUCCCAGGAAUAAAACCCACUUGAUCAUGGUGAACUAACUUUUUAACAUACUGCUGGAUUCAAUUUGCUAGUAUUUUGAGCAUUUUUGCAUCUACGUUCAUCAGAGAUAUUGGCCUAUAGUUUUCUUUUUUUGCUGUGUGCCUUUGCCAGAUUUUGGUAUCAGGAUGACACUGGUUUUGUAGAAUGAGUUAGGGAAGGUUCCCUUUUCCUCAGUUUUUUUGGAAUAGUGUCAGUAGGAUUAAUACCUGCUCUUUGUACGUCUGGGAGAAUUUGGCUAUGAAUCCAUCUGGUCCAGGAGUUUUGUGGUUGGUAGGUUUUUUUUUCCUUUUUAUUACUGAUUCAUUUUUAUUACUUCUUAUUAGUAUGUUUAGUAUUACUGUUUAUUCCUGGUUCAAUCUUGAGAGGUUGAAUGUUUCCAGGAAUGUAUCCAUUUUCUCUAGAUUUUCUAGUUUGCAUGCAUAGUGGUGUUCAUAGUAGUUUAUGAGGAUAUUUGUAUCUCUGUAGGAUCAGUUGUAAUGUGACCUUUGUCAUUUCUAAUUGUACUUAUUUGGAUCUCUCUUUUUUUCUUGAUUAUUCUAGCUAUCAGUCUAUCAAUCUUGAUAAUCCUUUCAAAGAACCAAUUUUUCAUUGAUCCUUGUAUGUUUUUUGUGGGGGAUCUCAAUUUCUUUUAAUUCUAUGAUUUUAGAUACUUUUCUUCUAGCUUUAGGUUUAGUUCUUGCUCUUCUAUUUCUGUUAGGUGCAAGGUUAGGUUGUUUUUGUCUUCUUUAUGAAGACAUUUAGCAGUAUAAACUUUCCUGUUAAUACUGCAUUUGCCACAUCACAGAGGUUUUGGUGUAUUGUGUUCCUAUUUUCUUUUGUUUAAAAAAGUUUUUUGAUUUCUGCCUUAAUUUUGUUUUUUACCCAAAAGUCAUUUAGGGGCAAGUUGUUUAAUUUCCAUGUAUUUAUGUGGUUUUGAGAGUUCCUCUUAAUAUUGAUUUCUAUUUUUAUUCCACUGUGGUCUGAGAAGCUACUUAGUAUAAUUUUGAUUUUUUGAAUUUAUUGAGCGGUAUAAAUGCUCUGCUUAAAAGACAUAGAGUGGCAAAUUAAACAGCAAAAAAAGACGCAUCAUGCUGUCCUCAAGAGCAUCAUCUUACAAUUAAUGAUGCCCAAAGGCUCAAAGUAAAGGGUUGAAGAAAGACUGUCAUGCAAAUGACAAACUUUAAAAUAGACUUUUUAAACCUGCAACGGUAAAAACAGACAUAGAAGGGCAUCACAUAAUGAUAAAGUGUUCAAUUAAACAAGGAGAGUUAAGUAUUGUAAAUAUAUGCGUGUCCAACAUUGGCAAAGCAAAUUAUUGUUAAAGGGGUUGCAGAAUUGUUAUUAAAGCAAGUUAUGUUAAAGGGGUAGAGAAUUAUAUGUUGAGACUUGACUUAUGUCCAAGCAUGUGGUCAGUCUUAGAGGAUGUUCUGUGUGCAGAACAAUUACUGAAACAAACCAAAAUAGAGACACAAUACACCAAAACCUCUGGGAUGCAGCAAAAGCAGUAUUAAGAGGAAAGUUUAUAUGCUAAACGCCUUUAUAAGGAAAGCAUAAAACAACCUAACCUGUGCCCAGCAGAAGUACAUUGGUAAAGCAAUUACUUCUAGACCUAAGGAAAGACUUUGGCAACCACAGAACAACAGAGGAGGCUUCAACAACCCACUGACAGCAUUAGACAGAUUAUCGAGACAGAAAACUAACAAAGAAAUUAUGAACUUAAAUUCAACACUUUACCAAUUGGGCCAAACAGACAUCUACAGGCUACUCCACCCAGCAACCACAGAAUAUGCAUUCUUCUCAUCUGCAUGCAGAACAUUCUCUAAGACUGAUGACAUGCCUGGACAUAAAUCAAGUCUCAAGAUACCUUAAUGGCAAUUCUGCAGCCCCUUAUCCAAGUCAGAAAUGUAGAGGUUCUCCUAAUUUUUUCUCAGUCCCUCAGCUGCACGUAUGUAACUGGUAACCAAACUUAUCAAUUAAGGCUGGGCAUUUCGCUCAAGCCUGUAAUCCCAACUUUGGGAGGCUGAGUCAGGAGGAUUGCUUGAAUCCAGCUGUGUAAGACCAGCCUGAGCAGCAUAUGAGAUCCUGUCUCUACCAAAAAAUUUUAAAAAAUUAGCUGGUUGUGGUGGCAUGUAUCCGUUGUCUCAGCUACUUAGGAGACUGAAGUGGGAGGACCCCUUGAGUCCAGGAGGUCGAGGUUACAGAGAGCUGUGAUACGCCACUGAACUCCAGUGUGAGUGGUAGAGCAAGACCCUGACCCAAAACAAAAACAAAGCAAACAAAAACUUAUCAAUUAUACAUUUGAGGUAGUUCUCUGUCCCUUUCUCUCAAUUCCAAUUUUUACUAAGUUCAAAUCUUCUUCAUAUCUUAACCUGAACUAUAAGAGUAACCUCCUACUUCAUUCUCCUACUUUUAGCUUUAUUUCUCUCAUUACAUACAUAUGUAAUUAUUUAUUUAAUUUAUUGAGAGAGGUCUUGUUCUGUCACCCAGGCUGGAGUGCAGUGGUGCGAUCAUGGCUCACUAUAGCCUCCCUCUCCCGGGCUCAGGUGAUCCUCCCACCUCAGCCUCCCAAGUAGCUGGAACUGCAGGUACAUGCCACCAUACCUGGCUAUUUUUUGUAUUUUUUGUAGAACUGGUGUUUUGCCAUGUUGCCCAAGCUGGUCUUGAACUCCUGGCCUCCAGUGACCUACCUUCCUUGGCCUCUCAAAGUGUUGGGAUUACAGGCAUGAGCCACCAUGCUCAGCCCAUAACAUAAAUGUCAAUUAUAUUAUCAGAACAUUAAUUAUAACAUUAGUAUAACAGUAGAUCUUUACAUAUGUAAUAUCUAUGUAUAACAUAUAUCACAUAUAUCAAACAUAACAUAUAUUAAUUAUGUUUAACAAUCUUUUGUAAUGUAAAAGACAGGCAAACACAAAUGUUGGCAAGGAUGUGGAGAAAAGAGAACCCUCUUUCACUGUUGGUGGAAAUGUAAAUUAGUACAACCACUGUGGAGAAUGGUUUGGAAUUUGCUCGAAAAACUAAAAAUGGAGCUACCAUGUGAUCUGGUAAUCCUACUGCUAGGUAUAUUCCUCAAAGAAAGGAAAUUAGUAUAUCAAAGAGAUGUUUGCAUUUAUUGCAGCACUAUUCACAAUAAGCAAGAUUUGGAUGCAAUCUCAUUGUCCAUCAACAGAUGAAUAGAUAAAGAAAAUGUGAUUCAUAUACACAAUGGAGUACUAUUCAGCCAUAAAAAAGAAUGAGAUCCUGUCAUAUGCAGCAACAUGGAUGAAAGUAGAGGUCAUUAUGUUACGUGAAAUACACCAGACACAGAAAGAUAAACUUCACAUUUUCAUUUAUCCGUGGGAGAUAAAACAAUUGAAUUCAUGGAGAUAGAGAGUAGAAUGGUAGCUAUCAGUGGUUGGGCAGGGUCGUGGGUAAGGGGGAAGUGGUGAUGGUUAAUGUGUACAAAAAUACAGUCUGAAUAAGAUCUAGUAUUUGAUAGCACAACUGGGUGAUUACGGUCAACAAUAAUUUAUUUACAUUAAAAGUAGCUAAAAGAGUAUAUCUGAUUGUAACAUAAAGAAAACAUAAAUGCUUGAAGUGAUGGAUUAAAAAAAAGUUCUAAGCAGCUUAAAGUUCUUCCUAAUGCCUAGCGGACAAGUGCAGACCCCUUAACAGAGCAUACUUCAUCCUUUUAAUCUUAUCCCUUAUACUAUGACUCUUGCCUUCAUUCCCAGAAAUUUGGUUGCCAUCCUGUAGGCAAAAAGUGAGCAUACUUCUGCAUGCUCCUCAAGGUCUCCUUGCUGUGAAGUCUUCCUAGAACGUUCCUUUCCUUCUUGUCAAUUUCCUUGCCCCUCUCUUGUUUGUCCGCAGCUCCUUACUUCACAACUCUUUCAGUGUUUCUCAUAUUUGGUUUCAGGUAGCUGUUUAUAUAUAUGCAUCAUCUCUUGCUGUGAGCUCCUUGAAGAACUGUGUUUUAUUCAUCUUUGUUUUUCUUAGCUAAGAGUCUUGCAGGUAAUAGGUGCUCAGCAAAUGUUUGUUGAAUGAAAAUUGAGUUAGAAAAGCAGUCCAGUAAUGUGGCCUUAUUAAAUCUGUACCAUGCAGACCAAAGGAAUUUUGUCUGAGGGAGAACGGCAAGGAUUGGUGGAGAUUCUUGAGACUAGAAUGGAAAUAAGCUAAAGGGGAGUUCCAGUCUCACACAGGUCCCUGGAGGCACAUAGUUGAUGCCUUAAGAUGAGUAAGGUUUAAAACUUGAUUCAUAUGAAUCUUUAUUUUAUUUCUCAGGAAUUUUCCCCAGGGUAUAAACAUUGAGAUUUUGUUAGGCAGAUCCUUAUUCCAAAAAAGAAUGCCAAUUUGUGUUUUGUUUGGAAUUGUGGUCCCUCUUUACCUUAUUUCAAUAACUUUUGUGCUUUUUGAUGCUUUCAUUUAGCUGAUAUCAAAAUAUCAAUAAAAUCUUUUCUUGGCAAUGUUAACAACUCCCCCAAGAAUCUCACAGGCCCUACUCUCUUCUCAACAUUCCUAUUCUCUCUGACUUUUCCCCAUCUAUUCUAGGACUUUAGUAGCGUUUCCCUGUAAUAGAGCUAUGUAGGCUGGCAUGGGCCUCCUCUAGACUGAGUUACUAGAGGGCAGACAGGUGCCAAUUUCAUGAAGUUCUCUCCUAUAGGACCUAGUAAAGUGAUUUGAAUAACAGAGACAUUUAGAAAUGUCUAGAAACAGAGGUCUUACUAAAUGGGCUGGGUUUCUUAAUAGGGUUAAGAUAUGGGUGACUGGAGGCGGAGGUUGCGGUGAGCCGAGAUCGAGCCAUUGCACUCCAGCCUGGGUAACAAAAGCGAAACUCUGUCUCCAAAAAAAAAAAAGUGUUAGGUGAAUAAAUAAUUUAAUAAUGACAAUGGCCUAAUAAAGGUAGUGCUGAGGGAAACAAUGAUCUCAGGAGUAAUUCAGAGAUAUUCUUGCUUGAAAAGGUUUGAGUAGGUUAUGUGGUUUAAACAUUAUAUUAUUUAAAAACUCAAUUACCUAUAGCAACUGUAUUGGAUUGAAAGGACAUCUUGUGUUGAUCAGCAAUGUGAGGGAAGCUGCUGCUGGAAAGAGGAAAGGAACCAGUGUUUGGAGGGAGGCCGUGGAACAAGAUAGAAAAUCCUCAAGGGCAGCUGUCCAUGUGCACUCCUGGAAAGAGUCAGGGAAUGGAGGGAGGGCAAGGCUUCUGUUGCAAAUAACUCAACUAGCCAGCCACUCAUUGAGCCAGCCACAGUGUGUGUAGGGAGAGUAAUUUCUGAGAAAAAUAGAGGAAAACAUUUUUUAAAAAACUUUAAGCACUUUAAAAGCAACUGUGGGAAGUUGUAAUCAUAGGGUGGUUCUUUCUUUCUGAAAGAAGAAAGGCAUUUCAAUUUUAAAUUCAGUGGGUUGAAAUGAUUGUGUCAUUUCAGCUAGAGAGGAGCAUGUCAGCGAGUGGAAAUGUUUUAUUAUGGAAAGUAUGACUUGAAGAUGUCACAUUUUAAAUUUAAAAAAAGCAAAUAAUUUCUGUUGUUGGUUCCUCCACAAGAACACAUAGCACUUUGCUGCAUUUAGAAGAAAAAGUAAAAAUAUCAAGCAUCAUAUUCACCAUUGACGUAGAAAUAGAGGUCUUACUAAAUAGGCUGGGUUUCUUACUAUGGUUAAGAUAUGCAGAAAACAGAACAAAGACGGCCCCUUAGGAGAUAAACUUUGCUUAGUGGUAUUGUGGACUAUUAGCCUGUGAGUUUAUUUAAGUAUGCAUGCUUUGCUUAUGGGAGUUGGCGGAUAAAAAGAGAUACUGACUAAAUUGUAACGCCCUUGUUUCCAACUCCCUGUCUUACUUAUCACUAAAGCAUCCUUUAUAGUUCAUUGACCUGUUAGACAUUUGAUACAAAUUUGCUGAGUCAACAGAUUUUAGGAUGUUUGGAAUAUGUCUGCAUUACUCAUUUAGAGAUGUCAUUAGCCACCAGUAAGUAAUUAAUAAUGGUAAUAAAAGUACUGUUUUUUUAAAAAAAAGAUUAACAUAGAAAUUAGAGGUGUAAACCGAUGACUUUAUUAACUGUCUUCUUGAAGCUGGCAUGAUUACAUGUUUGAACUAACCUGUAGUUUGUAGAAUAUAACAAUUUUCAGGAUAGUGUCCUUUUGCAGAACAAUCAGACCCAAUAGUCAGAUUAACCCUGCCCAGAUAUGAAGAAACAUUCAGAAUCAUGAAGCUCUAAAGGUUGUUAGUUAUGACUAAAAGGUGUAGAAUGAAGAAACUCCUGGUUGGGGUAAUUAGUUGUACUCUUUAUUUAGCUAAUUGAAAGAUACAGCUAAUUAGACAUUUAUUUUGCUGACAUGAGACCUUUUCUGAAGUGAUUUUUCCACUUCCACGGUCAGAACUUUAGGCAAAUCCCUUUCUUUUGUAGCCAGGCCUUACAUGCAUGGCAUUUUUUUCCCCUUAGGAGAAUAUGUGUAUGUCUGUCAUGUAAGGCAUAUUGUUCAUAGUUUUUUUCUAGGUGUGUGACAUGGUUUUUUUCCCUGCAGAAUUUUCAUUCAUAACCCAAGAUUCUUCAUUAGUAGUAAUAAAUUACUUAUGCCUCAUAAUGGCCUACUCUUGGAGCAUGCUGGACAUAGAGUACAGAUGUUAAUUUUUUUUAUCAUAGAUAUUCUGAAGAUAAUUAAACUAGUGUUUUGUUUUUUGAGAGGGAUUCUCACUCUGUUGCCCAGGUUGGAGUGCAGUGGCACAAUCUAGGCUCAUGGCAGCCUCUACCACCUGGGUUCAAGCAAUUCUCCUGCCUUAGCCUCCCGAGUAGCUGGGAUUAUAGGCACCUACCACCAUGCCCAGCUAAUUUUUUCUAUUUUUAGCAGAGAUGGGGUUUCGCCACAUUGGCCAGGCUGGAGUUAAACUUCUGACCCAGGGCCGGGCGCGGUGGCUCAAGCCUGUAAUCCCAGCACUUUGGGAGGCCGAGGCAGGUGGAUAACGAAGUCAACAGAUCGAGACCAUCCUGGUCAACAUGGUGAAACCCCGUCUCUACUAAAAUUACAAAAAAUUAGCUGGGCACGGUGUUGCAUGCCUGUAAUCCCAGCUACUCUGGAGGCUGAGGCAGGAGAAUUGCCUGAACCCAGGGGGCGGAGGUUGCGGGGAGCCGAGAUCGCGCCAUUGCACUCCAGCCUGGGUAACAACAGCGAAACUCCGUCUCAAAAAAAAAACUUCUGACCUCAAGUGAUCUGACUGCCUUGGCCUCCCAAAGUGCUGGGAUUACAGGCGUGAGCCCCUGCCCCCGGCCUAGUUUCAUCUUUUUUCGUGACAUUUCUGUUUAGGGAAGUCUGUUGGGGUUUUGUUUGUUUGUAUGUUUUGGUUGUAUCACCUCAUCGAAUACAUUGUUGCAACCUGGAGUUAUUCUCUUCAGUAGGGCGAUCUCUUCCCACUUAGGAGGUUUGGAUUCUGACUGCCUGGAUUCCAAUUCCAGUCCUGCUAUUUACUACCUGCAUGGCCUCAGUUUAGCAUCUCUACUGCUCAAACCCUCGAAGUCUCAGUUUCCUCCUUUGUAACAUGUGGAAAAUAAUACGCUGUUGAGAAUUAAAUGAGAUGCACUGAAGGACCUUAGCUGCCCAUAGCAGCACAUAGGAAACAGUCUAUAAUUAUUGUGAUCACUGUAGUUGUUUAUGUCUCUUCUCCUUUGUUCAGCCUUCCUUCUUAUGAUUUUUUUUCCCUCAAAUCAACUCACUCAAUAGUUCCGAUAUAUUUUUCUGCUAAUUAAUUUCCUUUGUAUAUGUGAAUAUAGAGCAUGACAUAAAGUAGGGUCUGAUUUCCAUGUGAAGUUUUUAGAAUAGAUCCCAUCAUAUACCUUCUACAAUACAUAUAGAGCAUCAAAACAGUUUCCCAUGUGAAACAAACCUAGGCAUACUCUCUUGUGAUGAUUUACGUGCUUUCCAGUGUGUUCCUGGAUAUUUGCCUCUCAUCCUUGCAUGCAUUUCCUCACAUCUCUAACGUGUGCUUUCUCCUUUGCUCCUGCGUCACCUUCCUUCUCUGGUUUCUAGCUAUUGAUGUUUUUAUUCCCUUGCCGUGCAUUAGAAUUAACAUCAUUUUCUAAUAUUGCUUCUUUGUGAAGCUUAUCACCUUUCUAUGCUGUGUCCCAAAUACUCUAUGUUCAAACCAUUGAGGCUGCACAAGGAGCAGAAGUCACACUAAUUCAGGGAUGGAGGUGAGGUGGGAGAAAAGAAUAGGCUGGUCCUGCUCCUCCACUCCCGUUUCUGAUGUGGGCAACUUCCCUGCUGUCCUAUGUGCUGGUGACAAGGAAGAGACACGAAGGAAUUGCAGGAGUUCUGUUUUCCAGGUGCUUCCCAAUACCCACUGGAUGACAUCCAAGCUCCUAAAUAUGGUGCACGUAUUCCCCAAGAUCUGGGCCCUUGCAGCCCAUCUUCCCACUUUAAAAUGUGUUCUCUGGUGAUACUGUCUUGCAGUUCCUGGCACAUCAUAUCCUGCUUUGAAUUUAUUUGUCUUUGCUUCUUGUGUAAUGUUUGUCUGUCCAUGUUUACCUUGCCAACUCCAAGUCUCCAAUUCAUUCUUCCAAGCUCAGCACACAGCUUGCCUCCUCUGGGAAGCCACCUUUGAGGCUUUUCCCUUCUUCCUACUGAGCCAAGUACCCUCCUUUCCUUUGGAUUCCACUGCAUUCUGGGUAUAGCUCUGUCAUUAUACACCCCGUUACUUUGGAGUGAUCUGUGUAUGGGUAUGUUUUUUCUGCUGGAAUAAAUUCCGUGAGAGCAGGGACCACAUAUUAUUCAUCUCCGUACCUGCCCCCCUCAAUCUAGCAUGCUAUGUGGUUCAGUGUAGAAGAGCCAGAGUUAUCUGUAGACCUCUUAAGUUGACCUCACUGGGAUCCGUGGGAUGAAGGCAGUGAUGAAGGAAUUCUUACUUCCUUUCAUGGCGCUUGCCUGAUAGUGACCUGACUUUGAAUUUCUUUCAGACAAUGAAACUGGACAGAUAAUAAUUUAGUUAGUUCUUCUCCAGUUUGCAGUCUUGUUCCAGAAGUGACUAUUUUAAAAGGUGGGUCAUAUAUUUAUAUAAUUUGUAGAUUUUUUUCUUAUGUCAUGGUAUAGCUUGUUUGUCAACCACAUGUAUUUCCCAUUUACUCAUUUCUUCGACAGAACACAUAAUAAGAUGACGGACUUUCUAAACACGUGAGACAAAUGCCUACAAAAUGCCUGAAACAAAAUGGUCCAUGCAGCAGAUUUUCUCAUAGAAGAAACCCAUAGACACAUAAUAGAAUGCCUCUCAGUACAAAAACAAACAAGCAAUUACCUGUGCUGCUUCCUGUGGGAAACUCAGCGUCCUACCACCCAUGGUGAUGACUUCUGUGAUUUUGUAGAGGAGUUACAUUAUUCUAAGGAAAUUCAUUCAUAUGUUUCUCAACAAAUAUACAUUUUACUUUCUUGGACAGAAAACAAAGUAUAUGUUUUUGUUCAAAUUUAUUUUCCUCUUUCUCUUUUGUUUCUUAAAAAUAAAUAUUCAACAUGCAAUUUUUAAUAACAGUACAAAAGACUGAAUGGUAGUCAUCACAGGCUGAUAGUGGGGAGGGAACUGUGUGUUCAAGACACAUCUGGAAUAUUUGUGAUGUGGUAGUUGCCUAGCGUGUCUCCCUCUGGGCCUUGACAUUAAACAAUGCCUUCUAGAAUUUGAGUCAAGAUAUGUUUACACUGCAGAUGUGUAUUGUUAUUAGCCUGGUAAAAAUCAUAUUUGAUGAAUUUGCUCCUAGUUUUUCUCUUUGUUAUAAGAGCUCUUCCUUUCUUAUGUUAAUCCAACAUUGUCAAGAAUAUUAUGAGAAUGGAGACUUGAAAUGAACCAUAUUUGGAAAUACCAGUGAGAAAAGGUUUUGAAAAUUCAAAAGGUGAAAAAUAUAUCUAGCCCCUGUAGAUAAAUGUCUAUGGUGUGAAUUGGUAACUCAAUAUAACUUUCAUUUUUUAAAUUUUUCAUUAUAAAUUGUCAAUUUAUAAUUCUAUAAACUUAUGGGGUACAAAGUGACAUUACAGAGGAUGGAAAGAAGAUGAUCAAAGGGUCAAAAUCUCACUAAGCCAUGAGGAAUAUAUAUACGUGUGUGUGUAUAUAUGUAUAUAUGUAUAUAUAUAUGUGUGUGUGUGUGUAUAUAUGUAUAUAUAUGUGUGUGUGUAUAUAUGCAUAUAUACAUAUAUACACACACACAUAUAUUUAGCUCUAUUGCACAGUGUGGCAAAUAUUGUUAAAAAUAAAGUAUUGUAUAGUUCAACAUAAUUUUGAGAGUAGCAAGAAUCCUGAUUUUGUAUUUUUCCACUUAAUAGUAGAUAACAUACUAGUCAUUUUCAGUUUGUACCUUCCAAUCAAAUUUUGCCAUCAUUUUCUUUGAGUAUGUGGAAGAAUCAUCAAUUCAUCUAGAGCUUUUUGUAGAAAAUUAUCUAUUUGAAUUAAAAAAUAUCCUCGUUUCACUUUAACCUGAAAAUUUCUAUAUUUGUUGUUUUAGUGAUGAUAAAGUUUUAUGAAAUUUGAAGUUUAACAGAAAUUGCUAAUUUUGAAAGGUAUAUUUUAGAUAUACCUAAAUUUGUGUCUCUCUAGUCCUCAUAAUUUGUACUUUCUAUCCUGAAAUCACUAUAAGAUUUUAAUAGAGAGUCUUUAAAGUUCCAUUUCAUAAGUAAUAUUUUUUCAAGUGGCUACAGAAACUCUCUGCUAAUGCAGAGAAGAAAACACUUUGAGUCCAUGAUUAUUAAUAUAUUCUUCUUGAUUAUAUGGUUUGCUCUUCAUACCCUCUAGAUGCUCAGUUGCAGAAAAAAAAAUGUGAUCCUUUAACUAUAGGGUUAGAACAAAGGCCCAUUUUCUGCCCACUGCUUAUAGAAGUUAAGAGACAAAAUUUUACUUAGACAGCUGUGGUCUGAUGGAGAUGCGGGUGUUCAGAAAUAGCUUGUGAAUUUAAAGUUGCAUUUAAAGUUGGCAUUUCUGUCCAAUUUGGUUGAGAUUCUGAAAGCAGUUCCACAUUUCUUCAUCAGGAAGUCAGGCUGACUUGUGAUGAAAGAUGAUGAAGACAAAUCCUAAACAGGGCUUCCUGUUUGUUUAAACCCCCAACCCAGGAGAAAAUCACUUCCAAGUUUCCCUGUACAAUUAUUGUAAUAUAUUUUCUUUUCAGAUUGUUAGCAGACUAUUCAGUUUGUGCUUGGCAUUUCAAUUAUAGUGAAAAAGGUGAAACCCAGAAGACUCGAGGAAUUCUCAUUAGGAGUCUGAAAUUUGAUAGACUUUUAAAAUUAACCUCUGCUUCUUGUUCUGUCUCUAGUAAGCACAUUAUUCAUUAAAUCAUAAUGUAUUGAUUAUCUGCUCUAUGAGCAGUUAUGAAUUGGUUACUGUGAUGGAUAGAAAAGAGGAAAAUAUGGCUUUUGUCCUCAGAACUCUCUUACUAAGAAAAAAGACAGGUUAAAAUACAGAGAAAAAUUUCAAUUUAAAGAUGGCAACCACUUUUAAGGAAGGACUAGAUCGUUCUCUUUCUAACAUGAGUGCUUAUGCAAAAUGAGACAUUUUGUUUUGCAAGUGACUUUUUGCAAACGGUAGGAAAGAGAGACAAAGGAAUCAGGGAAGUGUAAAAGCUUUUGAAAAAGACUUAGAUGCUUUUCCUAGAAUGCUGGAACAUCUAAACCAUGUUUGCACAGAGGUAAUUAACAUAACCUUAAUGUUAAUUAUACUUAAUGUUAUAUGUGUUAAUAUAUAUAGCUAACAUAUACUAAGCAUGUACUUCACGUUGACGACUGAGUACAUGCUGUACUGGCGUUUCCUCAUGUACCCCUGGGAAUAGGCUUAUGACAUAGGUGGGAUGCAUUUCCUAGAAGAAUAAAUUGGGGAAAAGGUUAAGCAGUUUUUAAAAUAAUUGACACAAGUGUUUUAAAAUAAUUGACACAAGUGUCCAUGCUUUAAACUUCUGCUCAAAGCUUUGCUUCUAAAGAACAUUUUUUUUCCUUGCUUUUCACAUUUUCAUCUGCUUUCAUUUCUUUUUGCCUUCUCUCAUCUCUGUCAUCUAAUUUUCUCCCUUGAUUUCUUAACUCUUCUUACACUUUCUCAUAAUAUGUUGAUGGUCUGUAAAAAAUUUUCUUGUUUCACUGAUGGUUCACUGAAUGCUUCUGUUGCUGUUGUAUUCAAAAGUAUAUACAUGGAUGGUUGCAUUUUUUUACUUUUACAGUCUAAUGCAGAUAUAAAUAUGCUGAAUAUAUGUACUUUGUUUGCUUAGAAAUGGAAAUAAAUAUCAACUAAAGCCUAAA